AUUGAACGCUGGCGGCAUGCUUUACACAUGCAAGUCGAACGGUAACAGGCCUUCGGGUGCUGACGAGUGGCGAACGGGUGCGUAAUGCAUCGGAACGUACCCAGAGGUGGGGGAUAACGCAGCGAAAGCUGUGCUAAUACCUCAUGUGAUCUGAGGAUGAAAGCGGGGGACCGAGCAGCAAUGUUUGGCCUCGCGCCUUUGGAGCGGCCGAUGUCGGAUUAGCUAGUUGGUGGGGUAAAGGCCUACCAAGGCGACGAUCCGUAGCUGGUCUGAGAGGACGACCAGCCACACUGGGACUGAGACACGGCCCAGACUCCUACGGGAGGCAGCAGUGGGGAAUUUUGGACAAUGGGCGCAAGCCUGAUCCAGCAAUGCCGCGUGCGGGAAGAAGGCCUUCGGGUUGUAAACCGCUGUUGGCAGGAACGAAACGGUGUCCGCUAAUACCGGGCGCUAAUGACGGUACCUGCAGAAUAAGCACCGGCUAACUACGUG
rnacentral:rRNA from 1 species